rnacentral:snoRNA from 1 species
UAACACAUUCAACAGUAGGAUCAUUUCUAUAGGAAUCGUCACUCUUUGACUCUUCAAAAGAGCCACUGAAUCCAACUUGGUUGAUGAGCCCCAUAACCUUUGUACCCCAGAGUGAGGAAAUGAAAUCGAAUUUAAAUUAGCUUGGUCCGCAAUCCUUAGCGGUUCGGCCAUCUAUAAUUUUGAAUAAAAUUUUGCUUUGCCGUUGCAAUUGUGAUAACUUUCUUUGGAAUUUGUUGCGAUAUUUAAUGGCGCGAUGAUCUUGACCCAUCCUAUGUGCUUCCAUUUUGGAAGGAUAGGGAUUCAUGGGUGGGUACAAAUGGCAGUCUGACAAGU